GACGAGCGCUGGCGGCGUGCUUAACACAUGCAAGUCGAACGGAAAGGCCCUGCUUUUGUGGGGUGCUCGAGUGGCGAACGGGUGAGUAACACGUGAGUAACCUGCCCUUGACUUUGGGAUAACUUCAGGGAACUGGGGCUAAUACCGGAUAGGAGCUCCUGCUGCAUGGUGGGGGUUGGAAAGUUUCGGUGGUUGGGGAUGGACUCGCGGCUUAUCAGCUUGUUGGUGGGGUAGUGGCUUACCAAGGCUUUGACGGGUAGCCGGCCUGAGAGGGUGACCGGCCACAUUGGGACUGAGAUACGGCCCAGACUACUACGGGAGGCGGCAGUGGGGAAGAUUGCACAAUGGGCGGAAGCCUGAUGCAGCAACGCCGCGUGCGGGAUGACGGCCUUCGGGUUGUAAACCGCUUUCGCCUGUGACGAAGCGUGAGUGACGGUAAUGGGUAAAGAAGCACCGGCUAACUACGUG
rnacentral:rRNA from 1 species